UACGAAGGGGGCUAGCGUUGCUCGGAAUUAUCUGGGCGUAAAGCGCACGUAGGCGGCUCUUUAAGUCGGAGGUGAAAUCCUGGAGCUCAACUCCAGAACUGCCUUCGACUAACUGAAGAGCUCGAGUCCGGGAGAGGUGAGUGGAAUCGCGAGUGUAGAGGUGAAAUUCGUAGAGAUCGGAGGAACCCAGAGGCGAAGGCGGCGCCCUGGCUCGCAA
rnacentral:rRNA from 1 species